rnacentral:rRNA from 1 species
GACGAACGCUGGCGGCGUGCUUAACACAUGCAAGUCGAACGGAAAGGCCCUGCUUUUGUGGGGUGCUCGAGUGGCGAACGGGUGAGUAACACGUGAGUAACCUGCCCUUGACUUUGGGAUAACUUCAGGAAACUGGGGCUAAUACCGGAUAGGAGCUCCUGCUGCAUGGUGGGGGUUGGAAAGUUUCGGCGGUUGGGGAUGGACUCGCGGCUUAUCAGCUUGUUGGUGGGGUAGUGGCUUACCAAGGCUUUGACGGGUAGCCGGCCUGAGAGGGUUACCGGCCACAUUGGGACUGAGGUACGGCCCAGACUCCUACGGGAGGCAGCAGUGGGGAAUAUUGCACAAUGGGCGGAAGCCUGAUGCAGCAACGCCGCGUGCGGGAUGACGGCCUUCGGGUUGUAAACCGCUUUCGCCUGUGACGAAGCGUGAGUGACGGUAAUGGGUAAAGAAGCACCGGCUAACUACGUG